CUGCGUCACACGUACGAGGGGAACAACAUCCCCGAGGCUUGUGUCACUCUGCGACUGUCUCGACUCGUGGAUCGGUCCGUUCAACGAGGUCGCCCACCCCCGUCCGGCUCGGCCUGGACCCGCUUCGGUGCUCGGCCGCUGGAAGAUGCCUCCCACCUGGUCGCAUCUCUUCGGUGCAGCGUUGGAUUCGAGGCUCUACUGACACGUGGUGGCAGCAGACACGUCGACGCAAGAAGGCCUGGACGAAGAGUACGUCGCCACCAGCACGGCCGAUUUCUCUGAUAACCUCGCGACCUUUCUGCGUGUAAGCUGAUUGUUUCCGCCUGGUUAUCGUCGGGCACAAGGCGACCAGAACAGGAACGGUGAUAAUAAAUGAUGUCGAAAGGAAGUUUAA